ACAUGCACAUAUGCAGCCGUUUUCUUCUCUAACUGAUAUUGAUAAGGCCUUUCUUUCCUCCCUAAAACCCCAAGGCCUUCCCUAAUUCACAACUCACGAAGCAAUGGCGUACAAUCUCAUCGCCCCGCCUUCCUCUUCUCGCUUCUCCGAAACCAGUCUACGCUUCAUCUCUCUCUCACAUCUUCGAACUCCCAAAAAUCUUAACUUUCCUCUCAAACACCACCGCCCAAAACCCUCCCUCCAUCUCUCCGCUCAAGUCUCAUUGCAAGAUCCACUUCUCAACGCAGUCAGUCAAGAUUCUGAAAUCCCAAUUCAAAAAGAGGUUUCUUCAUCCAAAUCCUUCAUUUGGGUCAAUCCCCAAUACCCCAAAGCCUCAAAAUUGAUGCAGAAAUCUUAUAAUUCAAGGUAUGCUUCUUUACCGCAGAUUGCAGAAUCAUUAAAUUCCUGCGCUCCGUUAGAUGAUUCUGUUUCGGGAGUGUUAGCAGUUCUCGGGGAUAAGAUACAACAGCAUGAAGCCGUGGUUAUUUUAAACAACAUGUCUAAUAGCGAAACUGCGCCAUUAGUGCUUGAUUACUUUCUGAAGAGGUUGAAGAUGAUUAGAAAAGUAGUGUUGUAUAAUGUGACUCUGAAAGUUUGUAGGAAGUGUAAGGAUUUGGGCAAGGCCGAGGGUUUGUUCAAUUUGAUGCUUGAGAGGGGAGUAAAGCCUGAUAAUGUCACAUUCUCCACUAUCAUUAGCUGCGCUAGGCUGUCGUCUUUGCCUGAAAAGGCGGUCGAGUGGUUUGAGAAGAUGCCGUCGUUUGGGUGUGAGCCUGAUAAGGUGACUUGCUCAGUGAUGAUUGAUGUGUAUGGGAGAGUGGGCAAUGUGGCCGUUGCUUUGAGUAUGUAUGAUCGUGCAAGGAGCGAGAAAUGGUGUCUUGAUCCCGUGACGUUCUCCACAUUGAUUAGGAUCUACAGGUCGGAGGGUAAUUAUGAUGGAUGUUUGAAUUUGUACGAGGAGAUGAAGGCAUUGGGGGUUAAGGCGAAUGCUUCAGUGUAUAAUGCGCUCUUGGAUGCUAUGGGAAGAGCAAAGAGGCCGUGGCAAGCAAAGACCAUCUAUAGGCAGAUGGUUAAGAAUGGAGUUGAGCCAACUUGGGGAACUUAUGCUGCCUUGAUUAGGGCGUAUGGUAGGGCUCGAUAUGGCUUAGAUGCGAUUGCUGUUUAUAAGGAGAUGAAGGAGAAGGGCUUAGAGAUGAGUGUUCUUUUGUACAAUACGCUGUUGUCCACUUGUGUUGAUGUAGGGUUUACUGAUGAGGCUGCUGAGAUUUUUGAGGAUAUGAAGAGCUCGGGGACGUGCAAGCCUGAUAGCUGGACGUAUGCUUCUUUGAUCACAAUUAAUUCUUGCAGUGGGAGAGUUGAGGCUGCGGAGGCCACGUUGAAAGAAAUGUUGGAGGCUGGUUUCCAGGCUAACAUCUUCAUCAUGACCUCCAUGAUCCAGUGCUAUGGGAAAGCUGGUCGUAUUGAUGAUGUUGUGAGGACUUUUGAUCAGGUGUUGGAGUCGGGCAUAGUUCCUGAUGCCCGAUUCUUUGGUAGUCUUCUUAAUGUAAUGACCCAAGCACAAAAAAAUGAACUCGGGAAGCUGACAACUUGCAUUGAGAAGGCUCACCCGGAGCUCGGUUAUGUAGUAAAACUUAUUAUUGAUGAGGAGAAUACGGAUGGGGAAAUCUUCAGGAAGGAAGUUGGCGAGCUCUUGGAAUCUAUUGGUACUGAUGUGAAAAAGGCAUACUGCAAUUGCUUGAUCGAUCUCUGUGUUAGCCUAAAUCAGCUGGAGAGGGCUUGUCAGUUGCUAGAUAUUGGCCUUGCACUCGAAAUAUACACUGAUAUCAUGUCCAGGACUCCAACACAGUGGUCUUUGCACUUGAAGAGCCUUUCUCUCGGGGCAGCCCUGACUGCACUGCAUGUUUGGAUGAAGGAUCUGUCGAAGGCACUUGAAAACGGGGAGGAAUUCCCAGAGUUGCUCGGGAUUAACACAGGACACGGGAAGCACAAGUUUUCAGAGAGAGGUCUGGCAGGGACUUUCGAGCCACAUCUGAAGGAACUGGAUGCUCCAUUUCAUGAGGCACCGGACAAGAUUGGCUGGUUUCUGACAACAAAGGUUGCAGCGAUAACAUGGCUGGAGUCGAGGCAAUCCCAAGAAGCAGUUUUGGUGUAGUCAGAUGUCUAUGGUGGUUGCUACCUGCUAGGCUUCCAUUAGCUGGGCUGACAAGAUGUGGAACUCCAGUGAGCUGACUUUCAAGUUUCAAAGUCAUAUGCACUUAAAUAUUCUGGGUUCAAGUUAUGUCGCUGUCAGAGUUUGACUAUUAUGCCAAGAAGUAUAUAUAAGUUGAGCUCAUUCCAUGUGUUACACAUUCGAUAAUGGGGAACUGCAUUGGAGUUUCAGAUAAGAAGUUUUGCAGGAGAAAGUUGUCAUCGCGGUCUUCACAGAAAGAGGAGAUCGAGAUUCUGAUACAAAAGCGCGGAAGCAACCUCAUCCGAAUGCCAAAAAGAGUGAAAAUAGUAGUGAGCAAGAAGCAGUUGCAGAGACUGAUGGUGAGUGUGGAGGAGGUGCAGUUGAGACGUAUGGUGCUGCAGUCGUUGCUCAGACGAUCAAGGAAAUGGAGGCCGUCGUUGGCUGCCAUUCCGGAGGUGUAGGAGAGGGAGAAGAUACGUUUUUUUUGCUUUGUUUGCAACAACUUUGCUGACCCAGUUUUUCAUGGAUGGCUGCAUUGCUCCAUUUUUUUUGUUUUUGGAGUUGUCAGAAGUUAUACAAUAUCUUGGCAGAGAAUGUACAUAUAUUAUGCUCUGCAGAGUGAACUCUUGUUCAAGUAGAAAAGGUUUUUUUACA